CGUCAUUUCAACCCUCAAGCUCUGCUUGGUGUUGGGGCCCUACGGCUGCCGUAGGCCCUGAAAGAAGUGGCGGGCUCGCUACAACUCCGAGCGUAGUAAUCUAUUAUCUCGCUAGGGAAGUGUGGCGUGCUCCUGCCGUUAAAGACCCCAUCUUUAACAAGGUUGACCUCGGAUCAGGUAGGAAUACCCGCUGAACUUAA
rnacentral:misc_RNA from 1 species